rnacentral:misc_RNA from 1 species
UCGCUCUCUAUGGAUAAGAUAAAGCGCUCACUCUCUGCUCUCCUCUGUAGCCUCUCACUUCUAAGCGGUAAUGGCAAGAGAUGCAAUGCAGGAGAAAUGGAGCCUCUACGAAGCCUACAACGAGCUCCACGGCUUGGCCCAGGAGCUAGAGACCCCAUUCGACGCGCCUGCGGUGCUAGUGGUGGGUCACCAGACAGACGGCAAGAGCGCUCUCGUGGAGGCCCUCAUGGGUUUCCAAUUCAACCACGUUGGAGGCGGUACGAAGACCCGUCGUCCGAUUACCCUCCACAUGAAGUAUGAUCCUCAAUGUGAGGUCCCUAUCUGCCAUCUUAUGUCUUAUGAUGAUCCCGCAUUUGUUCAAGAGAAAUCCCUUCAUGAAAUUCAGGCAUUCAUUGAAUCUGAAAAUAUGAGGCUGGAGCGAGAGUUGUGUCAAUUUUCAGCGAAGGAAAUAAUUAUUAGGGUGGAAUAUAAGUACUGCCCCAAUCUUACUAUUAUCGAUACUCCUGGGCUAGUUGCUCCUGCUCCAGGCAGAAAAAAUCAAGCAUUACAGAGCCAAGCUCGAGCUGUUGAGUCUCUUGUGCGAGCAAAAAUGCAGCAUAAAGAGUUCAUUAUAUUAUGUCUUGAAGAUUGUAGUGACUGGAGUAAUGCAACUACUCGAAGAGUAGUAAUGCAAAUUGAUCCUGAACUUUCAAGGACUGUUAUUGUCUCAACCAAACUUGACACUAAAAUACCCCAGUUUGCUCGCUCUUCAGAUGUUGAAGUUUUCCUUUCACCUCCUACACAUACACUGGAUGGCUUCAUACUGGGUGACUCUCCCUUUUUCACAUCCGUGCCUUCUGGAAGAGUUGGUUCUGGUCAUGAUUCGGUUUACAGAUCCAAUGAUGAGUUUAAACAGGCCAUAUCCUUAAGGGAGAUGGAAGAUGUUGCAGCUUUGGAGGAAAAGCUAGGGCGUCCAUUAUCAAAGAAAGAAAGAAGUAGAAUAGGUGUUAGCAAACUAAGGUCAUUCUUAGAGGAAUUGCUACUGAAGAGGUAUAUGGACAGUGUUCCUUUGAUUAUUCCGCUUCUUGAAAAGGAGUCCCGCAUUGCAGCAAGAAAGCUGAAUGAAAUCAUUAAAGAACUCAGUACUUUGGAUGAAGUCAAAUUGAAAGAGAAAGGAAGAGAAUUCCAUGACCUAUUCUUAACCAAGUUGUCAUUGCUGUUGAAAGGAACGGUUGUUGCUCCCCCAGAUAAAUUUGGUGAAACGCUACAAGAUGAGAGAACUAAUGGAGGGGCAUUUGUUGGUACUGAUGGUCUUCAGUUUCCACAAAAGCUAAUUCCUAAUGCAGGGAUGCGUCUUUAUGGGGGUGCACAGUAUCAUCGAGCCAUGGCUGAAUUUCGAUUUGUUGUGGGGGGAAUCAAAUGCCCUCAAAUUACUCGCGAAGAAAUUGUAAAUGCAUGUGGAGUUGAAGACAUCCAUGAUGGAACUAACUACUCUAGGUAUUCAUGAAUUUCUGACUGAACCAUUCAUGCAGUGCAAAAUAUUUCUAGUUUGUAAAACUCUUUUCCUUUCAACUUAUCUGAAUUCCAACUUUAUUUUUCCUACUCGCUUUUUAUUGGCUCACAGAACAGCAUGUGUAAUAGCUGUUGCAAAGGCUCGUGAUACAUUUGAACCUUUUCUUCAUCAGGUGACCGGUUAUAUUUAUUCCUAACAAAAUGGUUGAUCUGCAUUUUCACCCUCCCUCAUGCCCCCUGUCCUCACAUGCAUGUACACCCAACCCUAACAUCUCUUAAAACAUGAAGUAUAUAUCUUUUCUAAUCUGGUGAACCAAUAAUACAGCGGAUAGUAAUUCUAAUUAUACUCACAUAAUAGCAUUUACUCAUUUUACCGCUACAUCUUCUUUCCACAUGCAACACAAACUUCUCCUCUGUAUGAAUUCUGUCAAGGGUCACUGUCCAUGCAAAAUGUUAGAUCGUAAAGAAGCAACGAACCUGUUAAAAAAUCUCUGGUAUUGAAGUGUGUAUUAUUUUAAUGGAAGGUUAAAGUGUAAAUGAGUUUUAAAAGUUAAAAGCCAUAUAAUCCAAGUUGAUAGAAGCAAAAACCCCUGUAUAUAUGUUGUCUACAAAUCCAUGGGUGUUUAGUUGUUGUUGUUUACUUUUAUUUUUAUAAUUUUUGUUGAACAGAAUGGAAUUGGGUAUUAGGGAUUUAGGCUGGUUUGCAUUGGAAAUAUCCUAUUAAUAUUGGUUUUAUUCAACCUGUAUGACCAAUAUCUGAGCUUCUGUCAAAUGAAUUUGUGUUCCUAUGCUUUAGGCUUCCAAAUUUCAUUUGUCUUUGCCAUCUUUUGCAAAAUUUUGUUUGCCGCAGUUGAAUAUAGACUUCAAAAUGAAUUUCUUUUACUGGUGCAGUUGGGUAAUAGGCUCUUAUAUAUCUUGAAGAGAUUGCUUCCCAUCUCUGUCUAUCUGCUUCAGAAAGAUGGUGAGUAUCUUAGCGGUCAUGAUGUAUUCCUUAGGCGGGUUGCUUCUGCCUUCAAUAAUUUUGCAGAAUCUACAGAAAGAGCAUGCCAUGAAAAAUGUAUGGAGGAUUUAGUGAGCACCACACGCUACGUAACAUGGUCCCUCCACAAUAAGAAUCGGGCUGGGUUACGCCAAUUCUUGGAUUCCUUUGGUGGCACAGAGCAGUCUUCCACAGGAGCUAAUUCCGUAUCAGCUGGUAUGUCCCCAGAGUCAUCCAUGGGCUCAAUUGCCAAUGAGAAGCAUGAGAAUAAGUCAAGGGCAGAAGUUAAGCUCUGUCAUUUGGCCUCAGGAAUUGACUCAGGCUCUUCUGUUCAAGCAACAGAAACAAGGCUUGCUGAUCUUCUAGACAACACCCUUUGGAAUCGGAGGCUCGCUCCUUCAUCUGAAAGGAUUGUUUAUGCUCUGGUACAACAGAUAUUCCAUGGCAUAAGAGAGUAUUUCUUGGCCUCUGCUGAAUUGAAGUUCAACUGUUUUCUUUUGAUGCCGGUUAUAGACAAGUUGCCCGCACUUCUCCGGCAGGACCUAGAAUCUGCAUUUGAAGAUGAUUUGGAUAAUGUUUUUGACAUCACCAAUCUACGGCAUUCAUUGGACCAACAAAAGAGAGAAGUAGAAAUUGAGCUGAAAAGGAUUAAGAGGCUCAAAGACAAAUUUAGGUUGAUAUAUGAACAACUUAAUUUGCAUCAAGUCAAGGCUGUUCCUGCUACUGCCAAGGAAUGACUCCUGAGCAAGAAUGCUACUGGAGCAAGAUGUGUGAACUAAUGCAGUUACUUCAUUUGUUUCUCUCUCUCUCUCUCUCUUUC